rnacentral:rRNA from 1 species
AUUGAACGCUGGCGGCAGGCCUAACACAUGCAAGUCGAACGAGUGGCGGACGGGUGAGUAAUGUCUGGGAAACUGCCCGAUGGAGGGGGAUAACUACUGGAAACGGUAGCUAAUACCGCAUACCAUCGGAUGUGCCCAGAUGGGAUUAGCUAGUAGGUGGGGUAACGGCUCACCUAGGCGACGAUCCCUAGCUGGUCUGAGAGGAUGACCAGUCAACAUGAACGUGAGCCGCGGUCCAGACCACUACGGGAUGCAGCAGUGUUGAAUGUUGCACAAGGGGCGCAAGCCAGAGUGAGCCAUGCCGCGUGUAUGAAGAAGGUCUUCGGGUUGUAAGGUGAGUUCAGCUGUGAGGCGUUACUCGCAGAAUAAGCACCGGCUAACUCCGUGCCAGCAGCCGCGGUAAUUC